AAAAAAACAAACAUAAUUAAUAAUAAUUAAUCUUCGCUCAUUAACUUGUGAUUAAUUAUGUCCGGAGCAGAUGAUCAUGAGAUCAGAGAUGUAGAAGAAGGGCAACAAGAAGACAGUAGUGAUUCUCAAAAUAACAGUAAAAGAUCAGGGUUUUGUUCAUCAAAUGCGACAGUUCAACUGCUCCAGAAGCUGAUUGCAGAGAUGGUGGGGACAUACAUGUUGAUAUUUUGUGGUUGUGGAUCAGUUGCAGUCAAUUACAUAUAUGGUUCUAUUACAUUUCCGGGAGUAUGUGUAGUUUGGGGUCUUAUUGUGAUGGUUAUGAUUUACUCCGUUGGUCAUAUCUCUGGUGCUCAUUUCAAUCCUGCAGUUAGCAUCACUUUUGCCAUUUUUCGACAAUUUCCGAUCAAACAGGCAGGUUUCCGGCUCGAUCCUUUUGUUCCGUCAGGAAUAUUUCAGUUCUUUUUUCUUGUUCUGAUAUGCUAUUGCUACAUGAAUUUUUGCAGCUACCUUUAUACAUUCUGGCACAGUUUGUUGGGUCACUUCUUGCUAGCGGCACAUUGUACAUCCUGCUUGAUGUGGAAGAUGAGGAUUUCUUUGGGACAAAACCAGUAGGGCCUCAUGGUCGUUCUUUUGUAAUUGAAUUAAUCACCUCCUUCCUCCUAAUGUUCGUCAUCUCUGGCGUCGCAACGGAUAAUAGAGCAGUCAGUAACCCUUAAACAUCAUUUCAUUUUUGGUUAUUUUCUUUGCCAUUAAAUGUGUUUUCUUCUUCAAGAUAUCUCUCUCAUUUGGUUCCAACUAUUUCUGUUAAGGAAAACUGAAAUUGUCAACACUUUUGCAGAUUGGAGAAUUAGCAGGAAUUGCUAUUGGAAUGACAAUAAUGUUAAAUGUCUUCAUUUCAGGGCCAGUAUCGGGGGGAUCCAUGAACCCUGUUCGGAGCUUAGGGCCUGCUAUUGUUAUGCAUAUAUAUACAGGAAUCUGGAUUUAUAUAAUCGGGCCGGUCAUCGGAGCCAUCCUGGGAGGCUUUUGUUACAAUUUGAUUAGAUUUACAGAUAAACCUCUCCGUGAAAUAAGCAAGAGUAGUACAUUAAUCAAUAGUUUCAGGAGUUAAUCAAGACCAGUUCAUUAUCAACCUUUUAAUUAGCAAUAGGCUUCAUUCCAUCAUUUGUUGCCCCAUAUGUACAAAUAUUUCAUUACGGGUAUCCUAAUACUGGAUAUUGUCAAAAGCACAGGACACAUAACACGUGAAAUGUUUGAGAAGAGGCCAUUUUGCUUUGAGGAAUUCCACCUGUUCCCUGCUUUGCUUCACAAUUGUUGCCUAUUAAUUUGGAUAUUCCUUGAAUGGCCCAUGUGGUUACUGAGUCUAUUCAACUCACUACCGGGUUAUAUAAACACAAUGUUUGAAUUUGAUAGAGAAGAAAGA
rnacentral:misc_RNA from 1 species